AUUCCCCUAGUAACGGCGAGUGAAGCGGGAUGAGCUCAAGCUUAAAAUCUCUGUGUCGGUUCGGCAUGGCGAAUUGUAGUCUAUGGAGGCGCUGUCAGUGCGACUAUGUGGGUUAAGUUCCUUGGAAGAGGACAGCAUCGAGGGUGAUACUCCCGUAUGUACCUGUGUAGUUGCGCGUACGACACGUUUUCUUUGAGUCGUGUUGUUUGGGAAUGCAGCACAAAGUAGGUGGUAAAUUCCAUCUAAAGCUAAAUAUUGGUGCGAGACCGAUAGCGAACAAGUACCGUGAGGGAAAGAUGAAAAGAACUUUGAAAAGAGAGUUAAAGAGUACCUGAAACCGCUGAAAGGGAACCGGAUCGUUUCCAGUGUCUAUAAUCUAUGGCAUAUUUCAUUGGCGUGUGGGUGCGUGCAGCGUUUUGGAAGUAGUUUUCUGCUCCUGUCGUUGUUUUGCGCUCGCCUGCUGGUGCCCUGUGCUGUAGUGGGACGUCAGAGUCAAUUCGUAUGCUGCGGGAAAUGGUUACUGGGGAGGUAGGUCACUUCGGUGGCUGUUAUAUCCUGGUGACUAGUCGUCGUGGUUGGGAUUGAGGUGCCUACAAUGUGCUUUCGAGUCUGUGGGUCUCUCGUUUGGCCGUUUGCCUUGAUAGCUUGCUAUGUUGGUGAAUGUGUCGGGCGAUUGGGAUCUGUAGUAACUUG
rnacentral:rRNA from 1 species